rnacentral:sRNA from 1 species
AACAAAAAGAAGAAAAGAAAUCUGCUUCAAAUCCAUCUCCUUCGGGGAAAUCACCCCAGCUAAGUCGUCUUCUCCCUCUGUUGGACACCUUGUCAUGUGUACUGUCCAACAUCCCCUGUGUUUACAACUUACUACCUAGACCUAUUGUUUAUGCACACAAGCUUGCACUGUUAGGUCUACUGAUGCUUUUAGACUAUGAAGAAAUUUGUAGACACUUCUCAGUUUCUAAAGAUGUCCAAAUGCUAUUAAGAUGAGCUACAGAAACCCUAAAAGAUGUCCCACACCAUGAAAGGGUUCAGAGAGCACUGACAGCUGAGGAUAACAACAUACAGUUCCAAAGGUCAGUGACUGGCCGGUUACCACUCAAGAGUCAGUGAAAUGAAGUUUCUCACCCAAAGAAUAUCAUUAUUGCCUCCUAAUAGUUAAUAGCAAUUUGAUUCUCCCGAAGUCUUCGAAUCGGUUGGGGAAUUAGGAGAAAGGUGCAUACGAUAUGUUCUUAAGAAACCUAAAGUUUUACUGGGAUCAAAGCCAACAUACACUGUCUAUAAUUUUAGGCACAGGUAUUCCAAAUGUUAACAGGAUUGUUACUCUUAACAGGAAAUUGUGCAAACUUAACAGGAAACAGAAAGGUCAAGGUAAACUUGGCAGUCAUCUCGGAUAACGUGUGAAACACAGCUGGGGAAAAAAUAUGCCAGGAAAUAGAGAAUUAUUGCCUCAAACACAGAGGAGAGACUCAUUCAUGGUGACAUCAUAAAGGGGCCGGUGAGUGGAGGGAAGCUAAGGAGCGAAGGAACUGAAGAAUAAAAACAGUUCUCGUAUCAAAGCAUUCUGGUUUUGGAAGAGGCGGCUAGAGAAAUGUGGAAAGUGUUUCCUGGGGAUAUAAUUGACUUUGAAGCUAAAACUACAGAGAGCCUCCGGCAGCCAGAUCAAGACUCCGUCACGCUGAGAUGUAACCUUCCACACUGAUUAAUCACAGGGAGGUACAUGAAGACUUCUCGUCUCUCUUUUCACGACGAUAUACUCGAUGGCCAUUAUUGGCAAAGUGGCAAUACUCUAAUUCUGCCAUUCACUCUUCGGUCACUAGCGAGAAGAGGCCCACAAAGAAAGAAAACCAUCUCACCGAGUCGUACUGAUCCUGUGGUAUAGUUCCUACAUGGAAGGCAAUAAAUUUGUUUUGUUUCCCCUACAGUUAUUUCCAAAUACUGAGUACCGAGUCGACUCCCUAGAAAACGCCACCAGCAGCCAGUAAGGAGUCCAUCUUUUAGUGCCAUUAUAGAUGAGGAAUUUUAGCGUGUCUAUUACUUUUGUCUUUGAUUUAUAGUUAAUGUCCAAUGUACAGUAUAUCCUUUCAGCCUGAAUAGCAUAGUUAGAUCUUGCUCCAAAAACACUAAUUAAUUAAACUAGCUACUUCUGCUAAACUCCCAAUUUUUCCAAUAUUGGUAUGUAAGCAGCUCUAGAAUGCAUGUGGAUUUCCUUUCUCCUUCUCUUCUCAGCAGUGCCUUAUCCUUUUAAAACUUUGCAACGGGAAUUUUAUACUGGAGUGGCUCAGACUCAGAAGAGCCAAACAGAAAUGAGCUAAGGGCUAAGCAGCCAUAUCCCUUCACUUCCUGGAUCUUGUGUUCUCUCAUCCUCAA